UGCAAGCCGCCGCGGUAAUACAUAGGCUCCAAGCGUUGUUCGGAAUUACUGGGCGUAAAGCGAGUGUAGGUGGCCUGCCAAGUCGCUUGUGAAAUCUCCCGGCUCAACUGGGAGGGUGCGGUCGAAACUGGCAGGCUAGAGUUCGGGAGAGGAGAGUGGAAUUCCUGGUGUAGCGGUGAAAUGCGUAGAUAUCAGGAGGAACACCGGAGGUGAAGACGGCUCUCUGGACCGAUACUGACACUGAGACUCGAAAGCGUGGGGAGCAAACAGGAUUAGAUA
rnacentral:rRNA from 1 species